GACGAACGCUGGCGGCGUGCUUAACACAUGCAAGUCGAACGGUGAAGGGAUCAGCUUGCUGGUUCUGGAUGAGUGGCGAACCGGUGAGUAACACGUGAGUAACCUGCCCCCUUCUUCUGGAUAACCGCAUGAAAGUGUGGCUAAUACGGGAUAUUCUGGGUCUGUCGCAUGAUGGGUCUGGGAAAGAUAUUGUUUCGGUGGGGGAUGGGCUCGCGGCCUAUCAGCUUGUUGGUGGGGUGAUGGCCUACCAAGGCGGUGACGGGUAGCCGGCCUGAGAGGGUGGACGGUCACACUGGGACUGAGACACGGCCCAGACUCCUACGGGAGGCAGCAGUGGGGAAUAUUGCACAAUGGGCGCAAGCCUGAUGCAGCGACGCCGCGUGAGGGAGGGAGGCCUUCGGGUUGUAAACCUCUUUCGCCAGUGAAGCAGGCCUGCUCCUUGUGGGUGGGUUGACGGUAGCUGGAUAAGAAGCGCCGGCUAACUACGUG
rnacentral:rRNA from 1 species